rnacentral:rRNA from 1 species
AGCGAACGCUGGCGGCGGGCCUAACACAUGCAAGUCGAACGGAUCCUUCGGGAUUAGUGGCGGACGGGUGAGUAACACGUGGGAACGUGCCCUUUGGUUCGGAACAACUCAGGGAAACUUGAGCUAAUACCGGAUAAGCCCUUCGGGGGAAAGAUUUAUCGCCAUUGGAGCGGCCCGCGUAGGAUUAGCUAGUUGGUGGG